rnacentral:tRNA from 1 species
GGUCUGGUGGUAUAGUUGUCAACUCGUACGACUUUAACAACAUGCCCAUCAUGGGUUCAAGCCCCGUCUAGACCG